UACGUAGGGUGCAAGCGUUGUCCGGAAUUAUUGGGCGUAAAGAGCUCGUAGGCGGUUUGUCGCGUCGAAUGUGAAAACCCGGGGCUCAACUCCGGGCCUGCAUUCGAUACGGGCAGACUAGAGUUCGGUAGGCGAGUGGAAUUCCUGGUGUAGCGGUGAAAUGCGCAGAUAUCAGGAGGAACACCGAUUGCGAAGGCAGCUCGCUGGGACGUUACUGACGCUGAGACGCGAAAGCGUGGGGAGCAAACAGG
rnacentral:rRNA from 1 species